rnacentral:lncRNA from 1 species
ACGCACGUGUACGAUUGAAGGCGCCACAGCUAAACGAACGGAAGUGUUUCGUACACGGAUAUGCUCAAAGCAGAGGAUCGUAGACCUACUCAGAGGAGGAGAAUCUAGCGACGAAGUUAUACCGAAGAAGAAGUUGAGGCCUCUACUUAAUAUUGAAGAUUCUAUUUGCGAAAAUCGAUGUCUACAUCUUUCCACAGGCCCAUAAACCAAAACGUGGUUCCAUAGCGAACACGAAACCUAUAUGGUUGGACUAUAAAAUCCGAUGAAAUUUGUUACAUCGAGACACACCUAAGUGAAGGACUGUGAGCUGAUAUCUAUGUGCCACUUGUUCGGUAUCAUCCUUACCUCGACAAACUGCCCUCUCAGUUGGGUUCAGAUGAAAAAGAGACUUUGUCGAGGCACGGCUCAAUUGACCAGCAUCCAGACAACGGAGUGUGGAGCAUCUCCUUGGAGCAUUUCUUUAUCAAAUUUAGGAUUGCUAUCGAACAAGCGAGUAGUUCAGAGAAGGAGAUUCUGGCACUUCUACCGUGCAUCAAAUGAGAAGAAUAUACGUAUUCUGAGAUGUCCUUGGGUCGUUCUCUGUCCAUUUCGCAUGCCAAUCGAUCUACUGCGAAUCUGAACCGUUCGACUC